rnacentral:rRNA from 1 species
GGAGAAAAGCAGGGGAUCGUAAGACCUAGCGUUGAUGGAGCGGCCGAUAUCUGAUUAGCUAGUUGGUGGGGUAAGAGCCUACCAAGGCGACGAUCAGUAGCUGGUCUGAGAGGACGACCAGCCACACUGGAACUGAGACACGGUCCAGACUCCUACGGGAGGCAGCAGUGGGGAAUUUUGGACAAUGGGGGCAACCCUGAUCCAGCCAUUCCGCGUGAGUGAAGAAGGCCUUCGGGUUGUAAAGCUCUUUCGCAAGGGAAGAAAACUCGAUCUCUAAUAUAGGUUGAGGCUGACGGUACCUUGAUAAGAAGCACCGGCUAACUACGUGCCAGCAGCCGCGGUAAUACGUAGGGUGCGAGCGUUAAUCGGAAUUACUGGGCGUAAAGCGUGCGCAGGCGGUUUUGAAAGUCAGAUGUGAAAUCCCCGGGCUCAACCUGGGAACUGCGUUUGAAACUACAAAGCUAG